rnacentral:rRNA from 1 species
AUGUACCGUUUACUACGAGAUCUUCAUGCACAAUCCAAUUUACCGUGGGCAGUAAUAGGUGACUUUAACGAGAUUUUGUUCUCGUCGGAGAAGGAGGGCGGGGCCCCACGACCCCACUCCCGCCUCCAAGCAUUCCAAGACGCCUUGUCUGAUUGUUCUCUAGAGGAUUUGGGCUACGAGGGGCGAUUCACAUGGUUCCGUGGGGGACUGCGAGAGAGACUCGACCAAGCAGUAUCAAACGCUGGAUGGCUGCAGCUACACCGCCCUUGGGCGGGUUUAUGCAAUUUGGAGAUGGGCAAGUCAGACCAUCGACCUAUCUGCUUGGAUACUAAACACCUAGCCGGAGUGGCAGAAAGAAGGCCAUCAUACAGGAGGAAUUUUGAAGCCCGCUGGCUCGCGGAGGAGACGGUAGAGGAGGUUGUGAAAACUGCAUGGCGGAAGGCUGCCCAACGCGGUCUUGGACCGGGUACAAGAGCGAAACUAGCAGUUGUCCAUCAUGACAGGCAUGCAUGGGAUCGGAGGGUGCUAAAGGAACCACGGUCCAGACUCAGAGCAUCUCCAACAGUAGCGCGGCGCGCUAAAAACCCAUAUGCAGCGUGCGGAUCGUCUGUUUUAGCGCGGCGCGGUGCGCUUUCUCCAGCAGCCGCUGCAAAUUUUAGCGCGCGCGAGCCGCUCUAG